GCAGCAGGACUCCCUGGAAUCCCGGUGGUGCAGCACUGCUGGGUUUUUAGGGGGUUAAUGGAUCAUGGGAAGCCACAGAGCCAUUGCAGUGUGGCUUUGUGUGUUGGCAUCAAGGCUUCUUUGUGCACGCACGUGGCUGUUUCAGAUGUUUCACAGAACUGAUAGCUGUUGUACAAGAACAGCUCAGCCUUCCAGGAUUUUAUCCUGAGGUUAGUUGGGCUCGGUUUCCCUGCUUGAAGGGUCGGUCUAAGUCUGCUUUGUUUUGCUACCAGUUAGCAUUCAGUUCUAGAAGUAAAGGACUCCUGAAGCCUUCUGCUUUCCCUGGCCAACCAAACUCUGUUUGCAGUGUUCUUAUAGCUGUAACAGAAGGGGAGCGAGGGAUUUUUCUCCUGUGUCCUUGUUGGCUUUUACCCUCUGAUCUCAUACUGCUUUUCCACCUCUGUGGGUGGGGGAUGGCAGUGCUAUGGCUUGGGCUUGCUGGGAUGGCGCAGCAGGGAAAAGGGUUCCAGGCUGGCAGAUUUAUUUCUUAGCUCUAGUCUAGGGGGGACAGAUAAUUCCUCUCACGUCUGCUGAAUAUGGGCUGCAUCUAAUCAGAAGUGCAAUCACACACUUCUCGGUUCCUUCCAGGAAGCGUGCUGCUCUCCAGGGUGGGGUGCCCACGCCGUGUGCCCAGGUGUGCAGUGCUCUGUGUGCACAGCCCAUGUGCUUCCUGCUGAAAUCUGCAGCCCAGUCAGAGGGAAAGGAAGGCUUUUCCUGCAGGUAUGUUAUUUGUUAUGCAGGUCACUGAAACCAGAGAAGCUUUAUAAUCGAAUGUGAGCAUCUAGCAUUAUCCAGGUUGAAGCCAACUGGAUUAGUGGAAUGCAAGCACUCAGAAUAAUGUUGAUUUUUGUAAUUACUUUAAAGAAAGUAACAUUCUUAAAGGAAAAAAAAAAAAAAAGUGGUAGCUUUCUCAGAAAGAUUCUUGCUUUGUAAGAUCUAAUCUGGGGUUCAGACUGACCUGACAGAGCCCUCUCACAGCAGUUCAAUACAGCAUGCUCCACGGUAUCUUGCCAGCUGCAUGCUGUGAAACUUUUGCAGUCAUUAAAUAGUGAAGAUAUUUGACGUACCACAAUUACAGAGUCCUCUGGUGAAUAACUGUGCUAUAAAGCACAACUGUGAGGACUGCUAUUUUAGAAUAUGCAGUGUUGUAGCUUCUGUUAUUUGUGCUGGAUAAUAUGGUGUGUAACUCUGCUGAAUUUUGAUGCAUUUUAAAUGGGGUUGAAAUAUAUUUGUAUUUUGCUGAUGUAAUAGAAAGAUGAAGCGCACAGGUAUCCUUUCUUUCCCUAUUACUCCCUAACAUUAAAUGAAUAAAUAACUAGUCUAGUUUGUAUGUGAAGAUGCAGGUUAUACUUCAAAGUGAUACAGCAGGGUACAAAUUGCACCCAACAUCAUGACAUAUUGCAAUAAACUGAACCUAAAAAAAUCCCUGCAAUAUAGAAGAGCUAAAACUGAUUCUGGUUCUUUGUUGGAGAUAGAGGCAGUGUUAUUAAGUGUGCAGAGCUUCACCCAAGGGACAAGGGCCUGUGAUGCUCCACCUCUGCGGAGGAGUAGAUGCGUGCCUGGCUGUCCUGGCUGCCUGUGGCAUUGGCAGCAAAAUCUUGACCUUCUGAGUGUGGGGGAGGGCUCGGGCAGGAUUGUCCCCUCUGACUGCUGCUGGUCCUGGCACAGCCAGCACAUCUUGUUCACUUGUGUUGGACUUUUUGAUAGUAAAACAGAUGCAAAGUAAAGUACAUACGAGGAACAGACGCAGUCACAGAACUGAUGUUUUGCAAAUCCUUUACAACUUUCCACUCAUAUUGAUGUAAAACCUGUGAUCAGACUGCAUCAAAC